rnacentral:rRNA from 1 species
UACGAAGGGGGCUAGCGUUGCUCGGAAUCACUGGGCGUAACGGGUGCGUAGGCGGGUCUUUAAGUCAGGGGUGAAAUCCUGGAGCUCAACUCCAGAACUGCCUUUGAUACUGAGGAUCUUGAGUCCGGGAGAGGUGAGUGGAACUGCGAGUGUAGAGGUGAAAUUCGUAGAUAUUGGGAGGAACACCGGUGGCGAAAGCGGCGCACUAGACCGAUAUUGACGCUCAUACGCGAGAGCAUGGGUAGCAAACAGG